GGGUUGCUUGGGAAUGCAGCCCAAAAUUGGUGGUAGACUCCAUCUAAAGCUAAAUACUGGCACGAGACCGAUAGCGAACMAGUACCGUGAGGGAAAGAUGAAAAGAACUUUGAAAAGAGAGUUAAAAAGUGCGUGAAACCGUUAGAGGGGAAGCGGAUGAAGUUAGCAAUGCCCCCGCGAGACUCAGGUGGAUGGCAUACCUCUGGAUGCGACGCGUGGCUGACGGAUCCGAAUGGACUGUCGUUACGUGGCCGUUCCAGCCAGCCGCCGCACUUCUCGUGCUGGGGCGCGUCAACAACUGCUGGACGACAGGGGCUAGACGGCACUCGCAGCGAAAGGUAGGCGUCUUACUAUGACUCGGCUACUUUGCGGUGGUCGAGGAGAUGCUGUUAUAGACGCUGUUGUGUCCCAGCUCCAGUCUGGCAGAGGCUAGCUAGCGGUGUGUGCUCGCAACUUCGGUCGUGGGCUGGCAUCCUGCUGCGUGUUCUUGUAGUCGUCAGCUGUGCACUGCUUGCAGUUCACUUCAGACGGUGAAAAGGCGCGUGCAGUGUAUGCACACUAUGUGCACCAUGGUUGUUGGCGGCCAUAUGGCUUCUUCCGACCCGUCUUGAAACACGGACCAAGGAGUCUAACAUGUGCGCGAGUCUUGGGGUGACCGAAACCCAGAGGCACAAUGAAAGUGAAGGCCGCCGUGCAARGGCACUGCUCUCGUGGCUGGUGUACUAGCCGGUGGCUUAGGUGAGAUCUCUGCUUGCCACCUCGUGGCUGGCAGUGGCGCAUCAUCGACCGACCUAUUCUACUCCUAGAAAGGUUUGAGUAA
rnacentral:rRNA from 1 species